rnacentral:rRNA from 1 species
GAUGAACGCUGGCGGCGUGCCUAAUACAUGCAAGUCGAGCGAACAGAUAAGGAGCUUGCUCCUUUGACGUUAGCGGCGGACGGGUGAGUAACACGUGGAUAACCUACCUAUAAGACUGGGAUAACUUCGGGAAACCGGAGCUAAUACCGGAUAAGAUUUUGAACCGCAUGGUUCAAUAGUGAAAGACGGCCUUGCUGUCACUUAUAGAUGGAUCCGCGCCGUAUUAGCUAGUUGGUAAGGUAACGGCUUACCAAGGCAACGAUACGUAGCCGACCUGAGAGGGUGAUCGGCCACACUGGAACUGAGACACGGUCCAGACUCCUACGGGAGGCAGCAGUAGGGAAUCUUCCGCAAUGGGCGAAAGCCUGACGGAGCAACGCCGCGUGAGUGAUGAAGGUCUUCGGAUCGUAAAACUCUGUUAUCAGGGAAGAACAAACGUGUAAGUAACUGUGCACGUCUUGACGGUACCUGAUCAGAAAGCCACGGCUAACUACGUGCCAGCAGCCGCGGUAAUACGUAGGGCGCAAGCGUUGUCCGGAAUUAUUGGGCGUAAAGAGCUCGUAGGCGGUCUGUCGCGUCUGCUGUGAAAUCCCGAGGCUCAACCUCGGGCUUGCAGUGGGUACGGGCAGACUAGAGUGCGGUAGGGGAGAAUGGAAUUCCUGGUGUAGCGGUGGAAUGCGCAGAUAUCAGGAGGAACACCGAUGGCGAAGGCAGUUCUCUGGGCCGUAACUGACGCUGAGGAGCGAAAGCGUGGGGAGCGAACAGG